GCCGCCAGGCUCAACCCCGUCUCCGACGAUUGUCUCCUCCGCGACCUCAGACGGGUGGUCCUCGACGACGACGCGCUCGCGCUCUUCCUCCUCCGCCUUGACAAGCCAAGCGCUCCUUGUCUGGCUUCGCCACAAGUGGCUCCACCUCCUUGCAUUCUCCUGCAGUGUCGGGUGAUUGCGUGGGCGCUGAUAGCCUGAAGCAGGAAGCAGCUGACCAUGAGGAGCUCACUAAGACGACGAGGUGUGGCCAUGCUGCCUUAUCAGAGCUAGCUAGCUUACUGAUCGCAGACAAGGACGACAGUGCUUUUGAGCUGAGAUAGUAUGCCUGGUUGCAUGGAAUGACAGAACAAGCAUGGUUUUAAUGGCCCAGGAAAGGGCUCAAUUUUGGGCGGCUAUUGGGUUUGUAGCUGCCAUGUCGUUUUUAAUUCUAGGUGAGAAAUCCUUGCUUGACAAGGCUAGCUAGCCGCAGAUUGCAGGUAAUUUCUUCUUUAUUUUUACCUCAAAGUAUGCAAAGGUAGCACCCACUUGCACUUGGCUAACUAUGUUGCAUAGAAAUUGGGUAAUAUCCAUGCCGGUGA